rnacentral:rRNA from 1 species
UAUGAAGGGUGCAAGCGUUACUCGGAAUUACUGGGCGUAAAGUGUGCGUAGGUGGUUCGUUAAGUCUGAUGUGAAAGCCCUGGGCUCAACCUGGGAAUGGCAUUGGAAACUGGCGACCUAGAGUGCGGUAGAGGGUAGUGGAAUUCCCGGUGUAGCAGUGAAAUGCGUAGAGAUCGGGAGGAACAUCCGUGGCGAAGGCGACUACCUGGACCAGCACUGACACUGAGGCACGAAAGCGUGGGGAGCGAACAGG